GCCGGAGUGGCGGAAUGGCAGACGCACCAGACUCAAAAUCUGGCGAUGGCGACAUCGUGCGGGUUCAAGUCCCGCCUCCGGCACCA
rnacentral:tRNA from 3 species